rnacentral:rRNA from 1 species
AUGCCUUAGUAGCGGCGAGUGAGCGGCAAAGCUCAAUUUGAAUCUGGCGCCUUCGGUGUCCGAGUUGUAAUUUGAAGAUUGUAACCUUGGGGUUGGCUCUUGUCUAUGUUUCUUGGAACAGGACGUCACAGAGGGUGAGAAUCCCGUGCGAUGAGAUGCCCAAUUCUAUGUAAGGUGCUUUCGAAGAGUCGAGUUGUUUGGGAAUGCAGCUCUAAGUGGGUGGUAAAUUCCAUCUAAAGCUAAAUAUUGGCGAGAGACCGAUAGCGAACAAGUACAGUGAUGGAAAGAUGAAAAGAACUUUGAAAAGAGAGUGAAAAAGUACGUGAAAUUGUUGAAAGGGAAGGGUUUGAGAUCAGACUCGAUAUUUUGUGAGCCUUGCCUUCGUGGCGGGGUGACCCGCAGCUUAUCGGGCCAGCAUCGGUUUGGGCGGUAGGAUAAUGGCGUAGGAAUGUGACUUUACUUCGGUGAAGUGUUAUAGCCUGCGUUGAUGCUGCCUGCCUAGACCGAGGACUGCGAUUUUAUCAAGGAUGCUGGCAUAAUGAUC